CCUGGAUUCCCAUUGCAGCAGCAUUCCUCAUCCUGCUCGGCCACACACUCAGAGCCAUCAGCUCCUUUGCUUUUAAUUAGCAGCCUUAACUACCCAGCUUACAGAGCGCUGUGGUUACCAGGGACUCCCUGUUGUGGUUUGCUAUGGAAAUGAAGGCUGCCCGUAAAAAUCCAGGCCUUUGGCACAAGAGGGAGUGAGCAACAUGAGAGCAAGGUUGAUCCAACUCCAGCCCUGGCAAGAAGAUUGUGCAUGGAUGAAGCUGCUCAGUGUUAAAAAAACCUCUUCCCUGUCUAAUGCCAGUUCAAGCUGGGUCGGCACUAACAGACCUAAGAGACCUGGAUCAGCCUCAGCUAUGGCCUUCACCCAUGCUCCUAGCACAGGUCAAGAGCUCAUUUAAGCUCAGUCCCAGACUUUGGCUUUGUUUGAAGAGGGCUGGUCUCCUGCAAGCAAUGGACCCUGCUGUUCCUGACCUGCAGACUGACUCCUUGGAUUGACCCCUGAGCUGCCUCAUCACCACAGCUUUCCCUGAAAAUCAGGGUUCUUGGUUAGACUGGCCAUCAUCUCUGGCCUGGGUGCUGUGGGAUGGACCCUGGGCUGCUCAGGCUCCUGCCAGGCUGGCCUGGGUCAUCCCUGUGGCUCCUGGGCCCUGGGAAGCCACUGGUCAGAGCUGUGCACUUCCAUCAGGCUGGAUUAAAUGAGAAAAUGUCCUUAUUCUGCAAUUCUUUGCCAAGCUUUAAAGAUCUGUAGUAGAAACUCUUUCCAAGUAAAGAAAUGCAUGCAUUGGGUAAAUGUAUCUAUUCUGUAUUUCACCCAGCGUGAAUAGAGCAGGUCAGUGUUGGAAACCCUACAAGACCUGCUCCCACAGUGUUCAUAGCCAAAUUUUGGUAGAAGUCUUCCGUGUUGUAGAAGAUCUUUCAAACCCAAAUGGCAACUCUGACCUUUUGACAUUCGACAUUCAUGGUAAUCCUGUCAUAGAGAAGUGGAAGAACUCCAUUCUCACUAAACUUUCAGCUGUUGCAAAGCUGUGAGCCUGGCUGGUUGUCGCUGAAUGUUCCCUGGUACUUUGCAAUACUCAACAUAAUUGAUACCUGUCAUUUUGCCAAAUUUUGAGUAACAACUGUCUCUCUGCCUAAAUGCCUUCAGCAGCUCCAGUAAUUUAAAUAGAUCCAACACACUUCUGUAUGGGCUGCUUCACAAGCUUCAUAAUUCUGUGGUUCUCUGUGCAGUAUGGGAUAUAUAUAAUUCUGUUGGUACUGUGUUUUCCAGCCAUAAGCAGGGCAAGAGUUAAUUCUUAUUUUUGUUGAAGUACUAAGUGGGAAGCUAGGUCAUGCAUAAAUCCUCAUUGUGCUAGGUGCUGUACAAGCAACGAAUAAAAAUGAUCCCAGGCUCAAGGA